UUCGAGACGAGGACGUUGAUAGGUUGGGUGUGUAAGUGCUGUGAGGCAUUGAGCUAACCAAUACUAAUUGCUCGUGAGGCUUGACCAU
rnacentral:ncRNA from 1 species